UACGUAGGGCGCAAGCGUUGUCCGGAAUUAUUGGGCGUAAAGAGCUCGUAGGCGGUUUGUCACGUCGGAUGUGAAAGCCCGGGGGCUUAACCCCGGGUCUGCAUUCGAUACGGGCAGACUAGAGUGUGGUAGGGGAGAUCGGAAUUCCUGGUGUAGCGGUGAAAUGCGCAGAUAUCAGGAGGAACACCGGUGGCGAAGGCGGGUCUCUGGGCCGUAACUGACGCUGAGGAGCGAAAGCGUGGGGAGCGAACAGG
rnacentral:rRNA from 1 species